rnacentral:tRNA from 1 species
GGGGUUGUAGCUCAAUUCGGUUAGAGCGCCGGCCUGUCACGCCGGAGGUCGCGGGUUCAAGUCCCGUCAGCCCCGCCA